rnacentral:tRNA from 1 species
GUUGAUGUAGCUUAACCCAAAGCAAGGCACUGAAAAUGCCUAGAUGAGU